rnacentral:rRNA from 1 species
CGAACGUUAGCGGCGGGCCUAACACAUGCAAGUCGAACGAGAAUGAGGGAGCAAUCCCUCUAGUAAAGUGGCGGACGGGUGCGUAACACGUGGGUAAUCUACCUUCCGGCGGGGGACAACAGUCCGAAAGGAUUGCUAAUACCGCGUACGUCAGCGAGGCCUACGGGCUUUGUUGGGAAAGAUGGCCUCUCCUUGGAAGCUGUCACCGGAAGAUGAGCCCGCGGCCCAUCAGCUAGUUGGUGAGGUAAUGGCUCACCAAGGCUUAGACGGGUAGCUGGUCUGAGAGGAUGAUCAGCCACACUGGGACUGCGACACGGCCCAGACUCCUACGGGAGGCAGCAGUGGGGAAUAUUGGGCAAUGGGCGAAAGCCUGACCCAGCCACGCCGCGUGAGUGAUGAAGGCCUUCGGGUCGUAAAGCUCUGUGGGGAGGGACGAAUAAGCCCGGUAUUAACACCACCGGGCCCUGACGGUACCUCCUUAGCAAGCACCGGCUAACCAUGUGCCAGCAGCCGCGGUAAUACAUGGGGUGCAAACGUUGCUCGGAAUUAUUGGGCGUAAAGCGCACGUAGGUGGUCUGUUAUGUCGGAUGUGAAAGCCCUCGGCUCAACUGAGGAAGUGCAUCCGAAACUGGCAGGCUUGAGUAUGUAAGAGGGUCGCGGAAUUCCCGGUGUAGAGGUGAAAUUCGUAGAUAUCGGGAGGAACACCGGUGGCGAAGGCGGCGACCUGGGACAAUACUGACACUGAGGUGCGAAAGCGUGGGGAGCAAA